AGCAGGAUGGUACAGCGGAAGCAUGUUGGGCCUGUAACCCAGAAGUCUAUGGAUUGAAACCAUCCUCUGCUA
rnacentral:tRNA from 1 species